CCCGAGCCGCAGGGCGCGAAAGCGAUAGGCGGCACGCGGAUAAGUCGGCGAGUGCCGCGAUUUCCAGCAAAACCCCGACAGCC
rnacentral:sRNA from 1 species